rnacentral:rRNA from 1 species
UACGUAGGUGGCAAGCGUUGUCCGGAAUCAUUGGGCGUAAAGAGCGCGUAGGUGGCUUGUUAGGUCUGAUGUGAAAACCUAGGGCUCAACCCGAGGCCUGCAUCAGAAACCGGCUUGCUAGAGUCUGGGAGAGGAGAGUGGAAUUCCUGGUGUAGCGGUGAAAUGCGUAGAUAUCAGGAGGAACACCGGUAGCGAAGGCGGCUCUCUGGAACAGUACUGACGCUGAGGCGCGAAAGCUAGGGGAG